rnacentral:misc_RNA from 1 species
GAUGAAGAACGCAGCGAAAUGCGAUAAGUAGUGUGAAUUGCAGAAUUCAGUGAAUCAUCGAAUCUUUGAACGCACAUUGCGCCCCUUGGUAUUCCAUGGGGCAUGCCUGUUCGAGCGUCAUUUGUACCUUCAAGCUCUGCUUGGUGUUGGGUGUUUGUCUCGCCUCUGCGUGUAGACUCGCCUCAAAACAAUUGGCAGCCGGCGUAUUGAUUUCGGAGCGCAGUACAUCUCGCGCUUUGCACUCAGAACGACGACGUCCAAAAGUACAUUUUUACACUCUUGACCUCGGAUCAGGUAGGGAUACCCGCUGAACUUAAGCAUAUCAAUAAGCGGAGGA